rnacentral:rRNA from 1 species
AUUGAACGCUGGCGGCAUGCUUUACACAUGCAAGUCGAACGGUAACAGGCCGCAAGGUGCUGACGAGUGGCGAACGGGUGAGUAAUGCAUCGGAACGUGCCCAGUCGUGGGGGAUAACUACUCGAAGGAGUAGCUAAUACCGCAUACGAUCUAUGGAUGAAAGCGGGGGACCGUAAGGCCUCGCGCGAUUUGAGCGGCCGAUGUCAGAUUAUGUAGUUGGUGGGGUAAAGGCUCACCAAGCCAACGAUCUGUAGCUGGUCUGAGAGGAUGACCAGCCACACUGGGACUGAGACACGGCCCAGACUCCUACGGGAGGCAGCAGUGGGGAAUUUUGGACAAUGGGCGCAAGCCUGAUCCAGCAAUGCCGCGUGCAGGAAGAAGGCCUUCGGGUUGUAAACUGCUUUUGUACGGAACGAAACGGCCCUGGUUAAUACCCGGGGCUAAUGACGGUACCGUAAGAAUAAGCACCGGCUAACUACGUG